GCACUGGUGGCUAGGGUUUCUUUGGUCAUGUGUGGGUGGGGGUAUUUAUACCCUUCGCCUUUUAAUCUUGACCGUCCAUCAAGAUUGAAUCUGUACCGUUCAUCGCGAUGCAAUCUUGGCCGUCCGUAUGCGUGAAUCUGGGCUGUCCGUGCGUGCGGGAACGGAUCUGGGCUGUCCGAUCGCGCGCACGCGGAUCGCCCUCGUGGCCCGUCCCCUGGCCAGCGUGUCCUUGCCAUGCGGCACAUCC
rnacentral:lncRNA from 1 species